UUGGUCUACUUGGCGUGCUGUAUGUGCUGAAUCCUACAGUAAUUGUUUUACGACAUUGAAAGAUCCACAGAAUGACUAAAAGACAGCCCAGCUCCAACUCCAGCCAGACCUCAGCGUCCUCCAUCAGCAUCAUCUCCACCAACGACUCGACGCAGAACAUCAUCAGCUAUGACCCAACUGAAAACACAGAUUCCAGUUUUGACUUCGUGAUGGACCUGAGGGAGCUGAACAAAGACUCGGAGACCACGUUCGAGUUUGUUUCAGAUGCCAGCGACAUCCUGUGUGGAACCA